CCCAAGGCAUCCAUUUUCUGUUCGUCUUCCUCGAUCCGAAACGGAAACCCCCAGCGUGCACCGCCCCGCUCCUCAUUCAUUCCCCAUCUCGUCUCCUCCCCAACCCCGGCGACAAAACCCUAGCCUCCUCUUCCGUGUGAUGGGAUGCCGUCCAAACCCUACCCCGACCCCCUGACCGCCGCCUCCUCCUCCCCCGCCGCCCCCGCGACCUGGAUGUCCGCAUGGACGGUGCCCGGGCCCUGAUCGCCGCCGGGGCCACCGCCGUCUGCUGCCUCGUCUGCGCCUUCUGGGCCUUCCGCACCUCCUCCUCCUCCUCCCCCUCCUUCUCCAAGAAGCAGCAAUCCCCUUCGCUGAACUGCAGCGGCUGCGCCUCCUGCGGCUGCUGCGCCGCCAAGUCCGCCAACGGCGAGAUGGCCGUGGGCGGGGAUAACAAGAAGAAGGCGCAGGAGUCGGCCCCGCCUGAGGGCGGCGGCGCCUCCAUGAUGGAGCAGCUCGUCCCCGAGAUCACCACCCACGCGCUUAGCUACCUCGACUACACCAGCCUCUGCCGCCUCUCCAUGACCAACUCCGCCAUGCGCCGUGCCGCCAACGACGACGGCGCAUGGAAGGCGCUCUAUCACAAGGAUUUUACGGUGGAGCAGGGUACUAUAAAUCCACCUAAUGGAUGGAAGGCAUACUAUGCUGCUACAAAAGCCAUCAUGAAUCUUAAUGCAGAAUUCUACAAUAUCAUCAGGGAAGGGUCCUUGCCAGCAAUGAGCCGAUUUUGGCUCAAUGCAGAUUAUGUUAAGUGUAUUCACGCGACUGGGGAGUUCUUCACUGGCAGAGCAGAGCUGGAGACAGUGGAGAAAGAAAGAAUGAAUCAAGCUAUCAUCCGUGCCUGUCACGGUCGAAAGUGCGGAAGGCUCAGCAAGCUGCGCCGACCAGACAGCCACGGCAGGGCCUCAGGAGCUGCAGCGCUAGGGAGGAGGCAAGCUUGCCGAACUCCAUCGUGCUGUUGCUGUUGGUGUCCAUGGUGGUGAUGAGCGGAGCAGCGACACCAGCGGCAUCUCAUCCUCAGCAGCCAGGCAGAGACCCAAGUAGCGGAGAAAUGCCUCUAGCUCCAACUUGUUCCUAGUCAUGCAUAUUAUGUUGGCAGCUGAAUGGUAUCUAGCGCAUCACCGUCAAUUAGAUGAGCCAGGGGACUGGCUUUUAAAACCGUGUGCAUGCUUCUGUUUCUGCUGAAUAGAAAUACAAUGCGGUGAUGGAGAGCUGGGGCUUGCUGUUCAACUGGGGCCAAGAUGGAGGGCAGGGCAUUGCUUUCCAGAUACGGGAUGUCCGUGUUCGUGUCCUUGGUGAGGUGGCGUGGGUCAACUUGAAGGCGAAUG